GGUUUGAUCAUGGCUCAGAUUGAACGCUGGCGGGAUGCUUUUACACAUGCAAGCCGAACGGCAGCACGGACUUCGGUCUGGUGGCGAGUGGCGAACGGGUGAGUAAUGUAUCGGAACGCCUAGUAGCGGGGGAUAACUACGCGAAAGCGUAGCUAAUACCGCAUACACCUUCGGGGGAAAGCGGGGACCUCGGGCCUUCACCAUUAGAGCGGCCGAUACUGAUUAGCGAAGGUGCGGCACCGGCUCACCAAGGCGACGAUCCGUGGUUGUUCGAGGACGACCAGCCACAUCCGGGACUGAGACACGGCCCAGACUCCCUACGGGAGGCAGGAAUUUUGGAUACCGGGGAAACUCUGAUCCAGCCAUCCCGCGUGUGCGAUGAAGGCCUUCGGGUUGUAAAGCACUUUUGGCAGGAAAGAAACGGGCACGGAUAAUACCCCAACUGACGGUACCUGCAGAAUAAGCACCGGCUAACUACGUGCCAGUAGCCGCGGUAAUACGUAGGGUGCAAGUAUCAAUCGGAAUUUACCGGGCGUAAAGCGUGCGCAGGCGGUUCGGAAAGAAAGAUGAAAUCCCAGAGCUUAACUUUGGAACUGCAUUUUGAACGUCGAGCUAGAGUGUGUCAGAGGGAGGUGGAAUUGGCGUGUAGUGAAAUGCGUAGAUAUGCGGAGGAACACCGAUGGCGAAGGCAGCCUCCUGGGAUAACACUGACGCUCAUGCACGAAAGCGUGGGGAGCAAACAGGAUUAGAUACCCUGGUAGUCCACGCCCUAAACGGCGUCAACUAGCUGUUGAAGGCCUCGGUUUUGUAGCAGCUAACGCGUGCUUUUGACCGCCUGGGGAGUACGGUCGCAAGAUUAAAACUCAAAGGAAUUGACGGGGACUCCGCACAAGCGGUGGAUGAUGUGGAUUAAUUCGAUGCAACGCGAAAAACCUUACCUACCCUUGACAUGUCUGAAUCCCGAAGAGAUUUGGGAGUGCUCGCAAGAGAACCGGAACACAGGUGCUGCAUGGCUGUCGUCAGCUCGUGUCGUGAGAUGUUGGGUUAAGUCCCGCAACGAGCGCAACCCUUGUCAUUAGUUGCUACGAAAGGGCACUCUAAUGAGACUGCCGGUGACAAACCGGAGGAAGGUGGGGAUGACGUCAAGUCCUCAUGGCCCUUAUGGGUAGGCUUCGACGUCAUACAAUGGUCGGGACAGAGGGUCGCCAACCCGCGAGGGGGAGCCAAUCCCAGAAACCCGAUCGCAGUCCGGAUCGCAGUCUGCAACUCGACUGCGUGAAGUCGGAAUCGCUAGUAAUCGCGGAUCAGCAAUAGUCGCGGUGAAUACGCCCGGGUCUUGUACACACCGCCCGUCACACCAUGGGAGUGGGUUUUACCAGAAGUGAAGUUAGCUCUAACCGCGAGGGCGAUUACCACGGUAGGAUUCAUGACUGGGGUGAAGUCGUAUCGCAG
rnacentral:rRNA from 1 species